UUCAAAUUCGGAAUUUCCUCACUAAAUAAGUUAAGAAGCAUUAUUUGUGCACAAAAAGCAUAUGCUCUAAGAAAAUUCGACCUUAUCUUUAUUGCUUCUAGGCUCUAGCUAGCUAGCUUGUUAUAACUAUUCCUCAAUUUCCAACUUACUAUUGCCCUUAUGGUCCAUUUCAAAGUUAAAUCAAAUAAAUUGUGAUGAAAAUUACACCAAAUAUUUGGCAUAUACAUUGGUUAAAAAGUU
rnacentral:lncRNA from 1 species